rnacentral:lncRNA from 1 species
CAUGGCUAGGCUCCUCUUUGCUUGCUACCUUGCCUUACUGCUCCCUCUGCUAGCCCCCCAAACCUGCAACUGCGAGGAUACCACUCUCUGUGCCCCUUCUUCAUGUGGCAAUCAUACUAUUAGCUACCCCUUUAGCCUAAACAGUAGUGAUCCAUUAAACUGUGGAAACCCUCUCUAUACCCUCCACUGCGAGAAAAACACCUCCACAUUUUUGCAUUUAGACUCACGAAAAUACUACGUGCAGGCAAUCAACUACAACAACUUGACAAUCCGAGUGGUUGAUGCUGGUGUUACACAAAAUGAUUGCUCUUCUCUUCCUCAUUUUUCUUUAGCAUUUGAUAGCCUAGGCAAUUCCAGAAGGGCAUUUAAUACAUUUACUUUAACAUUUGAUAGCUUAGAUUAUAUGAGAUUUCCAUAUACAUGGUUUCAAUACAAAAGGACAGGGCCGAAAUGGUUUCCCAAAUACAAGCCUCUCCCGUUAUCGCAGAAGAUGAUUUUUAUAAACUGUGCAAAUCCAGUGAAUUCUCCGCUGUACAUAGAAACCGGUACUUGCCUUAAUGGAGUAUUGUUUUGGAGUGUCCAAAGUUGUUUUUCAAAAUAGUUUUUUUUAGAAAAUACAUUAAAAUAAUAUUUUUUAUUUUUAAAAUAUUAUUUUUAAUAUCAAUAUAUUAAAAUAUCUAAACAUAUAAAAAAAAAUUAAUUUAAAACAAAAAAAAAUAAAAUUUUUCAAAAACAUGGCACCACAACCCAAGACACCAACUAAGAGUCCUAAAAUAGGAUCAUCAUAAAGUUUGAGAAAUACAAUUUAAGAACUAAUCUAGCAAGCAAAUACAGUUUCAUCCCCAUAUUUUCAAUCAAAUGCAUGUUAAUCUUUUAUUUGUGUAAUAAGCCGCGAAUUACUCGGAAUCCACUGUAGGCAGCAGCUCAUAGAUCACAGCCUUGAAAGCAAUGAUGACCUCAAAAUAUAUGAUUACUCUGUUUCUGAGAUGGCUGCCAGCUCUUGAUGAAGAUGCCUCCUUAGCAUACCUGUAUUCGUUCUCUUUGGAGCUGUGGAGCUAAGAGGAUUAGGAGGUGUACUUAACCUGUCUCCUUUCCCUUCCAGCAUCUGGACAACGAUUUUCAUGGAAGGACGGUCCACUGGGUUCCACUGGAUGCACCACAGUCCCACAAUGGCUAGCUUCUUCGCAAUUUCAGCAUCCCCUUCUUCCUCGAUGUGGAACCGCAGGUCUUCUCCUUCUUCUAUGAGAUUAUAAAUCCAUUCUGGGAAGUAUACUUGAUCACCAUUUUCUGCUGCUUCAUCAACAUUUUUCCUUCCACCAACCAUUUCUAACACCAACAUUCCAAAACUGUACACGUCUGCCUUGUAGGAGACAUUCCCAAAGUUUCUUGAGAACACUUCAGGUGCUAUGUAGCCGACGGUUCCCAGAGCUGUUGUCAUGGAAAUAGCACUUUUAUACUUGGAACACAACUUAGCCAGACCGAAAUCUGCAAUCUUGGGAUUGAAGUCAUUGUCCAGCAGGAUAUUAUGCGGUUUGAUGUCAAAGUGGAGGAUUGUUUGGUCACAACCCUGGUGAAGAUAUUCAAUCCCUUUGGCUACUCCGAGGGCAAUAUGAUGCAUCCUUUCCCAGCCAAGGAAAACAUUCUUGGCGUUUGCUGCAGAUAUGAACUUCUGCAGCGAAUCGUUUGGCAAAUACUCGAAAACCAGAGCUCGUCUAAAUCCAUCAGCACAGAAGCCAAUCAAGCGGACUACAUUGACAUGGUGAAUCCUAGCCAUUGUUCCCAUCUCGUUGACGAAUUCCUCUCCUUUUUCUGAUGAAUUGCUUAGAACCUUAACAGCCACCGGAAUCUCACUGGUUAGCUUUCCUUUGAACACAGUUCCAUAAGCUCCUUGCCCCAAUUCAUCCCUGAAUUGAUUUGUCAUCUUUUUGAGAUCAGCAUGGGAGUAUCUUGUGGGGUUCAUAGCUCUGUAAUCAUCCAAAAACCUUUCAACCUUGGCCUGAUAUUCCUCUUCUGAUUUUCUGAAGCUAUAGAUUUGGUAGACUGCAAUCACCAAAACCCCGAAAAGGAUGGAUCCUGUGGUUACACCUGCAUAUAUAAACAAGCCUUUUGAGUCAAGUAACUGAUCUUUUUUUUUUGGAAGCUAAGAGUUGGAGUAAAUUUGAGAAAAACUAACCUACAGUCAGUCGCUUUUUCCGUGCACCUGUAGAAGAUAAGAACCCCUGUUAAGUUCUAAUUUUCUGAAAGUUUCUAAAGUCAUGAUAAUAUCCUCUAUUUGUAGAAUCUAGAACGCUAAAUGCACAGGAAAACCACAUGUCAGUCAACUCACUAGUAGAUAGGACUUAGGUGUUCAAGGACACUUGCAAUACAUUAAUCAAAGUAGAGAUGUAGACUUAGUGAAGCAAGGAAUCAUAGAAAAUCAAGAUGCCAUGAACACAGAACAAUGAAAAGAAGACUUAAAGCUAAAGAUACCUUUUUCUGGUCUGGGCAAGCCAUAGCAUUCAGUUUCAAGCUCAGUGCUGCUAUUUUCCCUCAAUCCACAUAGUUUUCCUGUUGCUUCACAAGUUCCACAAUUGGGAUAGGACCACGACAGACGAAUAUCUUGUGGAACAGGUAGGUCGUACAUCUUGGUACAAGAUAGUAAUAACUCGUUGUCAUCAAUAGAUUGUUCUGAAUCAAUGGCAAGAACGUCAUAGUGGAGAGUACUUAUUAGACAAGCGAUCCUAGACAGAUAUCUUGCUUUAUUUAAAGAACAAUUGAAGGUAGUAAAAUCGACCUUGGAAAUCUUAAACUGUAUGUGAAACACAGACGAAUUGAAGUUGGAGUGUUGGCUUAGAAGGCAAACUUGGGGAUCUCUUGCAUAAAUAACUUGAUUUUUGUAGUCGAUCUUUUCUAUGUGGAGCUUCACUGCAGCUGGCAGCUCGAGCACUAUAUCGCCCAUCUCAUUACAAGACAGAUCAAAACCAGAAUAGCCACACUGUUCUGGCUGCCUAUCCUUGAUCCAGAAUGGAAAUCGGAUGUCGUGGUUCCCACAAGAUCCUGUGCAAUUUAGACUCACUCCAAGUUCUGCAAUGAACAUGAAAUAGAACAAGCAUAUAGCCUUUUUUGUUGAACCUCUCAUCAUUGCCUCCUAUGGUGAUAGAGUUUCGACCUAACAGUAUCUAGAUAUUGCAGAAACAAUAGUAAACUCAGAUGGGAGCAGCAAUGGUAACUCUGAUACCUUCUUUUUAUGACACCUGAAGGGUAACUCUGAUACCUUCGUUUUACUUGCCUAGAUUAAGUACUCAGAAUUGACCUCUCUUGCGUUCAAUGUAGUUCCAUGUCCACAAGGAUUAUUGCACCCUCACUUUCACAAAUUAUUGCCAAGAAGGUUAUCAUGUUAUCUAUUACAUGUUGACGUUUGUGGUGUUGAGAGUUGAUGGAUUUGUGGUUUAUAUCAAAGUAAUCUUUGAUAUUUCAAAGGAUGACUUGGUAAGUUUAAUAUACUGAAGAAACUCGUACAGACUCGCACUACCUUGUACUUAAUUUUUAUCAAAUAAAUAGGAAUGGUGAGAUUCGAAUUAUUGCUAAGAAGUUUAUCAUAUUGUCUAUAUGUUGAUGCUUGUGGUGUUGAGAGUUGAUGGAUUUGUGGUUUAUAUCAAAGUAAUCUUUGACAUUUCAAAGGAUCACUUGGUAAGUUUAAUAGGCUGAAGAAACUCUCGCAUUAGAAAACUAGCUUUAAGGUGUGGUGAGAUAUUUAGAAAUGAUUUAUAUUAUUUUUUAAUAUAUAUGUUAAAUUAAAAGUUUUUUGGAUUUAAAACUUGUACAGACUCGUAUUACCUUAUACUUAAUUUUUAUCAAAUAAAUAAGGAUGAUGAGAUUCAAAUUAUUGCCAAGAAGGUUAUCAUGUUCUCAAUUAUAUGUUGACGCUUGUGGUGUUGAGAGUUGAUGGAUUUGUGGUUUAUAUCAAAGUAUUAUUUGCUUUAUUAUUGUCACUUGGACAUUUUAAAGGAUGAGUUGGUCAUUUUAAUACGCUGAUGAAACAUUCACAAGAAACAAUUUAAUUUAAAAAGUUAAUCUGUUAUAUAAAUUUUUAAUAUAUAAUUUAUAUUAUUUUUUAAUAUGCAUGUGAAAGCUUUUUCAAUUUAAAAUUUAAACAGAUUUACACUAUUUUACGCUUAAUUUUUAUUAAAUAAAUAAAAAUGAUAAGAUUUAAAUUUAUAACCUCUUGAUCAUCAAGAGUUUGAUAUUAUAUUAAAAACUCAACUCAACUAUAAAAUUUAAGCUGUUAGGUUAAGUUUUAAAAUAUAAUUUAUAUUAUUAUUUAAUAUUACUGCUGUAACUGUUGUCUUUUAAAGACUUGAUAUCGUUUAUGGACUACACCCUCUUUCUCCACCCAUGGCUAGGCUCCUCUUUGCUGGCUCCAUAGCCUUACUGCUCCUGCUGCUAGUCUUCCAAAACAGCAACUGCAAGGAUACCAAUCUCUGUGCCCCUUCUUCAUGUGGAAAUCAUACUAUUAGCUACCCCUUUAGCCUAAACAGUGAUCCAUUAAACUGUGGAAACGCUCUCUAUACCCUCCAUUGCGAGAAAAAUACCUCCACAGUUUUGUAUUUAGACUCACGAAAAUACUACGUGCAGGCAAUCAACUACAACAACUUGACAAUCCGAGUGGUGGAUCCUGGUGUUAAAGAAAAUGAUUGCUCUUCUCUUCCUGAUUUUUCUUUAACAUAUGCAAGAUUAGGUAAUUCCAGAAGUGCAAAUACUUUUUCUACUUCAACAAAAGCAGGCUUAGAUUAUAUCAGAUUUCCAUAUACAUGGUUUCAAUACAAAGAGACAAGGCGGAAAUGGAUUCCCGAAUACAAGCCUCUCCCGUUAUCGCAGAUGAUGAUUUUUAUAAACUGUGCAAAUCCAGUGAAUUCUCCUCUGUACGUAGAAACCGGUACUUGCCUUAAUGGAGAAAAAUCUUCCAAUGUUUCACUCUUGAGGCGUUCUUAUGUGAACGUUGGUGGGAUGAAGGCUUCGGAUCUGAUGGAACUGUGCAGCUUAGAGAGGAUGACGUUGUUGCCAGUCAAGGAUUACAAGAACAUGCCCUAUAAGGAAAUCCACAGUCAGCUGGCAUAUGGGUUUGAGCUUUCAUGGCACAAUAGCAGGUGUGGAAGUUGUGCAUAUGGAUGC